rnacentral:rRNA from 1 species
GACGAACGCUGGCGGCGUGCUUAACACAUGCAAGUCGAACGGAAAGGCCCUGCUUUUGUGGGGUGCUCGAGUGGCGAACGGGUGAGUAACACAUGAGUAACCUGCCCUUGACUUUGGGAUAACUUCAGGAAACUGGGGCUAAUACCGGAUAGGAGCUCCUGCUGCAUGGUGGGGGUUGGAAAGUUUCGGCGGUUGGGGAUGGACUCGCGGCUUAUCAGCUUGUUGGUGGGGUAGUGGCUUACCAAGGCUUUGACGGGUAGCCGGCCUGAGAGGGUGACCGGCCACAGUGGGACAGAGCUCCGGCCAAGACUCCUGGGGGGGCCAGGGGGGGGAAUUGGUGCAGAGUGGGCGGAGGCCGGAAGCAGCAGCCCCGCGUGGGGGAUCGCGGCUUUCGGUUUGUAACCCGCUUCCGCCUGGAAAGAGGGGGGAGGGACGGUAAUGGAUAAAAAAGCCCCGGCUAACUACGUG